rnacentral:rRNA from 1 species
AUGAGUAAUGACGCCUUCUCAAUCUGCUCCUGGAAUGUACGUGGUCUUGGUGAUGAUGAUAAAUGCUCCGAUGUUCUCUCCAAAUUGAUAGCGAUUAAGCCACACAUUACCCUCUUGCAAGAAUCAAAACUCGACACUCUCUCUAACCUCAAACAAAGAUCCUUCUUGCCACGACAACUCGACCAAGUGCUCUCGUUACCAGCUGUGGGCACCGCGGGUGGCACCAUCUCUGCCAUCAACUCUGCCUCUUUUCAAGUUGUUUCCCACUCACACCUAAAUUUCUCAUCCACCCUAAUCCUACAAUCAACUGUGUGCGCCCACCACAUCGCCAUCACAAAUAUCUACGCUCCCUCUUCACGAUCACUCAAGCAAGCCUUCCUAAACGAACUCUCAUCUAUCUCACAACCAGACGACGCCCCCUGGAUUAUCGCUGGCGACUUCAACCUUAUCCGCUUCCCAUCUGAUAAAAACAAUCCUGCCUUCCACCACGCCGAAGCCAAUGCAUUCAACCAAACCCUAGAUGAAUUAGCUCUCAUAGAGUUGCCCCUACUUGAUCGCAGGUACACCUGGUCAAACAACAGAGCCACCCCCACCUUAGAACGGAUAGAUCGUGUUUUCUUUAACUUAGCGUGGGCUAACGCCUUCCCUAACACCUCGCUAUCCUCUCGUACUCGUUUCUCGUCCGAUCACGUCCCCCUCCUCAUCCACGUCACCACCACCAUCCCACGAUCCAACAUCUUUAAAUUUGAGGCUGGAUGGGCCAACUUCCGGCCUUGUGGCGAUAUUGUCAGCCAAAUUUGGGCCUCGCAGCCCACAUCGCCACCCAACGUUGUCGCCUCUCUCGUCGCCGCGCUCAAAAAAUCUCGUAUCAGUCUCAAAAAAUGGGCACGUUCUCGUAUCCCCACCCCCCCUUCGCGAAGCUCGUUGCCAUGCUGCAAUCACCGCCUUGGACUUCGUCGAGGAAAAUAG